UUUCUUCGGAAAUGAAGAUUUUGUGACUGAGUGGCGGACGGGUGAGUAACGCGUGGGUAACCUGCCUCAUACAGGGGGAUAACAGUUGGAAACGACUGCUAAUACCGCAUAAGCGCACAGGAUCGCAUGAUCCGGUGUGAAAAACUCCGGUGGUAUGGGAUGGACCCGCGUCUGAUUAGCCAGUUGGCAGGGUAACGGCCUACCAAAGCGACGAUCAGUAGCCGACCUGAGAGGGUGACCGGCCACAUUGGGACUGAGACACGGCCCAAACUCCUACGGGAGGCAGCAGUGGGGAAUAUUGCACAAUGGGGGAAACCCUGAUGCAGCGACGCCGCGUGAGCGAAGAAGUAUUUCGGUAUGUAAAGCUCUAUCAGCAGGGAAGAAGAAUGACGGUACCUGACUAAGAAGCACCGGCUAAAUACGUGCCAGCAGCCGCGGUAAUACGUAUGGUGCAAGCGUUAUCCGGAUUUACUGGGUGUAAAGGGAGCGCAGGCGGUGCGGCAAGUCUGAUGUGAAAGCCCGGGGCUCAACCCCGGUACUGCAUUGGAAACUGUCGUACUAGAGUGUCGGAGGGGUAAGUGGAAUUCCUAGUGUAGCGGUGAAAUGCGUAGAUAUUAGGAGGAACACCAGUGGCGAAGGCGGC
rnacentral:rRNA from 1 species